ACAGCCUCAGCAAAGAAACAGAGUGACACAUCCACCUUCAUCUGGCUUUCCACCUUAUUCUUCCUAACCAGUAGAUGUAUUGGCUUACUUCUGCAGUAAUACAAUGGGGGCUGAAGUCCAGAUGUGUCUAGAAAAGGAAACACCACACACUCCUGACGCCUUACUGGGAGAAGCUUUCUUACCUGGAUCCAGUGCCCAGCUAUAUGACCAUCUGUGCUAUAUGAAGGUUUGUAUCCUCAAGGCAGCCAUAAUUCACACUAAUGUCAUGACACAAGCUACAACCAACAAUAGUAGAAAGGUUAUGUCAGCAUCGAGGUCACCUGCAGACCACAGAUGGCUGUUUCAUCUCCUACGUUGUUUAAUGCUAACGGCUGCAGCAAGUUUACAGGUCUCUGAUCCAACUCUGCAGCUGCAGUCCUGAAUUGGAACCGAUUGAAAGCACUACCUCAAGGUGAACAGAAAACUCUGCUUCAGAAAAAUAUCAGUGAGCAUUUAGGGACAACAGCAGCUAGAGCAGAAUGAUGACUUUUGAAGAAAACUAUGGGAUGUUAUUUUAAGGAGAAAGAAUAAUAUAUACUAGUCUCCAUAAAUUAACGUGAGGUAAUUUCUUCCUGAGUCCCCAAGGAAUGUUAUCACUGAAUGGUGAUAUCUGGAAAGGUCCUCCUGCAUUACUUGUCCCAACACAACCAAAGUGCUUGACUGAUAAGUAAAAUAGACAUUUCUUGUCUCAGGGAGAAGAAUGUGGACAUUGGAGGAGUAGAAGACAAACAAAGGCUGAAAGUGGAGGAAGAGAAGCCAAGAACAUUCCUUUUGCUAGUUAAUUUUUCUAAGGAUGUUUCAUAAAGGUUUUAAUUUAUAUGAAUAUAUGCAUUAUGGGUUAGCAUAAUUAUUCCCUAGUGUAAUUUAAAAUAUCCCAAAGGAUGCCAACUGACAAGUUACAUCUGAGCCUGUUGACUUUCCACUGUUAUUUUGUAGCAAAACAUGGGGAUAAGGUAAAUAGGCUUAUCUGCACAUCUGUAGCUAGAACCCAAUAUCUUUGCUUUAUGAGCAAAAAUCUUGCCUACUUACAAGUUUGCUCUGGGAACUGAUUAGAAUGGAAUGUCCACAAUAUUAAUGUAAGCAUAGGGUUCUUUCAGGAAUGUGCUAUCAGCUUACCUAUUGACUUUAUAAGAUGGAGGGGCGAACUGAAGCUGUUACUGGUCCAUGAGAAGAGAGGUACCAACAGCCUUCCAGUGCUUGAGACCUCUCCUAUUGCUUUCUUUUCUUUUAAUAAAAAGAAAAAAGAGUAGUACAGAAAUCUCUUGUUGGUUUGGUAAUAUCCUCAUUUUAGAGAGGCAUAAGCUUUCCUCUCUACUUAAUAUCAAAAAAUGUGGAAAAGUCAUUAAGUCAUUUUAGGUAUUUGUCAUCAGAUCUAGUGCCUCAGCCAUCUGCCUUAACAGCUCCUGAAACUGCUGAUAGUUGUCUGGAAGAGAUUAUAACCACUGUCACUGAAUCCUCAGAAGACACUGAAGAAGUCAGGCUAAUAUCAGUUUAUUUACAUAUCCUCACUCUUGUAACAUUAUCUAUAUCUAGCAGCUCAGAAAGGCUUAAACAGGGGUCAUGGUUCUAGCUCUGUAGGGGAAAUGGUACAAUAAGAUAAGAACUUGAUUUUAUAGGAAAGGAACAAUAACAGCACAAUUUUCACAAUUUUAGCUAACAGACUGACUUAACUUUCAGCUAACAGAUUGACUUAACUUCCCAUGUCCAUGGAAGACAAUGUGAAAACAGUCAGGCAGAAUCAGAGACACAGGGCAGGAGACAACACUGUGGUAUAAAUCUUUUAGAAUGGAGAUUUCAGACCAAGUUAGAAAUUGCACCACUUAAUAUCUGUCACGUGGGCUCUUCAGGAGACUCAGUAAGGCUGCAUUAGAUUUACCUCAUGGCAUACAGUAGGAAUUAAGUUCCCAAGAGCAGUGUCCAAGUGAGUGAAAGGCUGAUCAGUGAGUUUCACAGAGGCAACCAGUGGUGAGCAGGGAGCAAAACAGUGUCUAAAAUACGAUUUUUCUAUGAGACUAUAGCUCAGAAGUUUUCCUGAUGGUAGAUAGCUAUUGCCAUUCCUUCUGGGUGAGACUGAAUGACUUCUUUAAAAGCAAGUUGUGCCACAAGACAAUAAUGAUACCUGCUUCCCAUGGAUGUGUGCUGGUUUUGCACUAUACCUCUUUACAAUAACAAUUUGUUUCCCGCAAGUUUCUACAGCAAGUUUAUACAGCUAUGGCAGUAUAAACUAAGGCAUGUUUUGAUGCAUUGUAUCUGUUGUAUACCCCAUCAAGAGUUCUCUCAUCAUGGGCACGAAUUUGGACCUCUCCUCUCCA